GUGUCCUACGGGACGCAGCAGUGGGGGAUAUUGCACAAUGGGCGCAAGCCUGAUGCAGCGACGCCGCGUGGGUGAAGAAGUACCUCGGUACGUAAAGCCCUAUCAUCAGGGAAGAAAAUGACGGUACCUGACUAAGAAGCUCCGGCUAAAUACGUGCCAGCAGCCGCGGUAAUACGUAUGGAGCAAGCGUUAUCCGGAUUUACUGGGUGUAAAGGGAGCGUAGACGGCAGUGCAAGUCUGAAGUGAAAGGCAAGGGCUCAACCCUUGGACUGCUUUG
rnacentral:rRNA from 1 species